rnacentral:rRNA from 1 species
UACAGGGGGUGCAAACGUUGCUCGGAAUUAUUGGGCGUAAAGCGCGCGUAGGCGGCUACUUAAAUCGGAUGUGAAAGCCCCUGGCUCAACUGGGGAAGUGCACCCUAAACUGAGUAGCUUGAGUGCAAAAGAGGGCCGCGGAAUUCCCGGUGUAGAGGUGAAAUUCGUAGAUAUCUGGAGGAACACCGGUGGCGAAGGCGGCAUCCUGGACCGGUAUUGACGCUGAGGCGCGAAAGCUAGGGGAGCAAACGGG